rnacentral:lncRNA from 1 species
GGGGAAAUUACAAAAGCAGCAUUUGUACUGCUGUCCCUAUUCAAUUAUGGUAACAUAGACUAAUUUCCAAUCAUAUUUUAGGAUUAAUUUCGUAAUUCUGUCUAGAUGUAGAUAGAAAAGGCAUCGAUUUAGCAUUCAAGAUGAAAAUGUGGCAUUGAUGUUAAUAAUGAAAACAAAUUACUUACGCCUAAAGUUAUGGUAACUUAAUUGGAUUCACCUGGCUCAAACACUCAAAUGUAGAUAGAACGUCCACUAAGCAUCCCAAAUCAACAUGUGGCAUGGAUGU